AUGGCUCAGGAUGAACGCUAGCUACAGGCUUAACACAUGCAAGUCGAGGGGCAGCAGGGCAAUAGCUUGCUAUUGUGCUGGCGACCGGCGCACGGGUGAGUAACGCGUAUCCAACCUACCCCGCGGUCAGGGACAGCCCGGCGAAAGUCGGAUUAAUACCUGAUGCAGUCAGAAGAGGGCAUCUGAUUUUGACGAAAGAUUGAUCGCCUCGGGAUGGGGGAUGCGUAGGAUUAGGCAGGCGGCGGGGUAACGGCCCACCGCGCCGACGAUCCUUAGGGGUUCUGAGAGGAAGGUCCCCCACACUGGUACUGAGACACGGACCAGACUCCUACGGGAGGCAGCAGUGAGGAAUAUUGGUCAAUGGGCGGUAGCCUGAACCAGCCAAGUAGCGUGCAGGACGACGGCCCUAUGGGUUGUAAACUGCUUUUUAUGCGGGGAUAAAGUGCGGCACGUGUGCCGUUUUGUAGGUACCGCAUGAAUAAGGACCGGCUAAUUCCGUGCCAGCCGCCGC
rnacentral:rRNA from 1 species